AUACACUCGUAGGUUCAAACUCAGCUUCACAUAUACACUCGUAGGUUCAAACUCAGCUUCACAUAUACACUCGUAGGUUCAAACUCAGCUUCACAUAUACACUCGUAGGUUCAAACUCAGCUUCACAUAUACACUCGUAGGUUCAAACUCAGCUUCACAUAUACACUCGUAGGUUCAAACUCAGCCUCACAUAUACACUCGUAGGUUCAAACUCAGCUUCACAUAUACACUCGUAGGUUCAAACUCAGCCUCACAUAUACACUCGUAGGUUCAAACUCAGCUUCACAUAUACACUCGUAGGUUCAAACUCAGCUUCACAUAUACACUCGUAGAUUCAAACUCAGCUUCACAUAUACACUCGUAGAUUCAAACUCAGCCUCACAUAUACACUCGUAGGUUCAAACUCAGCUUGACAUUUACACGCGUAGAUUCAAAUUCACUUGUAGAUUCAAACGUAGAUUCAAACUUCCAGCUUUACACUCAAAUUUAGCUUUACACUCAAAAUCAGCUUCAUACUGAAUCUCAGGUUUAUAUUCAAAUUCAACUUUACACAAAAUUCAAAUUCAGCUUUACUCUCAAACUGAGAUUUAGCUUUACACUUACAGGCUUUCGAAUUCAGUUUAAAGAUUCAGAUUAAACAGUCAUAUUCAUUGAGUAAUUUAUGACUCCGAUGUACCGUUCCCUUGAAGUUUGUUUAUUCAUUUGCCUGUUUAUUUAUUUAUUUAUUGUGCUUGUGUGUCAGGGUUGGUCUCCUAAGCUACAAUGAAUAGUUCUUUUGGUGAAGGUUCUGUAAAUAUUCUUAAAUAUCUCUGGACACACAUCCACACUUGAUAAAACGUUUGUAUAGGUUGUCGGUAUUUCCAUGGGUAGUUUUGUAAACCUAGUGAUAGUUUAACAAGGCAUCUGCAACACGAACGUGAAAAACACUCAUGAGAACCCGAGUAAUCUCCUUUCUGGCCUUGGGGAAUGUUGUUGUGAGAGCCAAGAGCGUCUGAGAAUACGGGCCUGAACUAAUACUCUUGUGUCGCCUCGUCAUAGUGAAGCUACAACGCAAGUCUUAUGUUUAUUUUCUCUGCAUCUAUGGUUACUUUGAUGGUCACUCCUGUUUGCUUUUGUAGGAGCAGCGGUUAGUUUUUAUAGUUUUUUUUUUCUUUGUUUAUUGCCCUUGAGCAGUUUCCUUUACCGUCAAAAUAUGGUUGAUGUUCUUAAACGCUACCAACUCUCACCUCAGUUACCAAAGGCCAAAAAGGAGAUCAAUCGAAUUUUAAUUAGUGUUUUUAUAGGUUCGUGGUACAGAAGAAGGGUCAAACUACCACCAGGGUCAUAAAACUACCCUUGGAAAGGCCCACAACUCCUACGAAAGCCGUGUCAGAUGUGCUUGGGCGCCGAAAUGUUUAAGAAUAUGACCUUAAGUUUGGUUUCAGAAGUUCCAUCCCAACAUAGCGUUAUACUUUGAUUCUCAUUUAGGAAAGUUCGAUUUAUUAUACGUAUACCACUUUC